rfam:Triticum urartu cultivar G1812 contig1006570, whole genome shotgun sequence.
UAUGUACUCCCUUUAUUCUAAAUUACUUGUUUUGGAUUUGUUUAGAUACGGAUGUAUCUAGACUCAUUUUAGUGCUAGAUACAUCCGUAUCUAGACAAAUCUAAAACAAGUAAUUCGAAACGGAGGGAGUAGGUA